rnacentral:rRNA from 1 species
GAUGAACGCUGGCGGCGUGCCUAACACAUGCAAGUCGAGCGAUUUACUUCGGUAAAGAGCGGCGGACGGGUGAGUAACGCGUGGGUAACCUGCCCUGUACACACGGAUAACAUACCGAAAGGUAUGCUAAUACGGGAUAAUGUACUUUUGUCGCAUGGCAAGAGUAUCAAAGCUCCGGCGGUACAGGAUGGACCCGCGUCUGAUUAGCUAGUUGGUGAGGUAACGGCUCACCAAGGCGACGAUCAGUAGCCGACCUGAGAGGGUGAUCGGCCACAUUGGAACUGAGACACGGUCCAAACUCCUACGGAGGCAA